UUAAGCGACUAAGCGUACACGGUGGAUGCCCUGGCAGUCAGAGGCGAUGAAGGACGUGCUAAUCUGCGAAAAGCGUCGGUAAGGUGAUAUGAACCGUUACAGCCGGCGAUGUCCGAAUGGGGAAACCCAGUGCAAUUCGUUGCACUAUCGUUAACUGAAUACAUAGGUUAACGAGGCGAACCGGGGGAACUGAAACAUCUAAGUACCCCGAGGAAAAGAAAUCAACCGAGAUUCCCCCAGUAGCGGCGAGCGAACGGGGAGCAGCCCAGAGUCUGAAUCAGCUUGUGUGUUAGUGGAACGGUCUGGAAAGUCCGACGGUACAGGGUGAUAGUCCCGUACACCAAAAUGCACAGGUUGUGAACUCGAAGAGUAGGGCGGGACACGUGGUAUCCUGUCUGAAUAUGGGGGGACCAUCCUCCAAGGCUAAAUACUCCUGACUGACCGAUAGUGAACCAGUACCGUGAGGGAAAGGCGAAAAGAACCCCGGCGAGGGGAGUGAAAAAGAACCUGAAACCGUGUACGUACAAGCAGUGGGAGCACCUUCGGGUGUGACUGCGUACCUUUUGUAUAAUGGGUCAGCGACUUAUAUUCUGUAGCAAGGUUAACCGUAUAGGGGAGCCGCAGGGAAACCGAGUCUUAACUGGGCGUUAAGUUGCAGGGUAUAGACCCGAAACCCGGUGAUCUAGCCAUGGGCAGGUUGAAGGUUGGGUAACACUAACUGGAGGACCGAACCGACUAAUGUUGAAAAAUUAGCGGAUGACUUGUGGCUGGGGGUGAAAGGCCAAUCAAACCGGGAGAUAGCUGGUUCUCCCCGAAAGCUAUUUAGGUAGCGCCUCGUGAAUUCAUCUUCGGGGGUAGAGCACUGUUUCGGCUAGGGGGUCAUCCCGACUUACCAACCCGAUGCAAACUACGAAUACCGAAGAAUGUUAUCACGGGAGACACACGGCGGGUGCUAACGUCCGUCGUGAAGAGGGAAACAACCCAGACCGCCAGCUAAGGUCCCAAAGUCAUGGUUAAGUGGGAAACGAUGUGGGAAGGCACAGACAGCCAGGAUGUUGGCUUAGAAGCAGCCAUCAUUUAAAGAAAGCGUAAUAGCUCACUGGUCGAGUCGGCCUGCGCGGAAGAUGUAACGGGGCUAAACCAUGCACCGAAGCUGCGGCAGCGACACUAUGUGUUGUUGGGUAGGGGAGCGUUCUGUAAGCCUGCGAAGGUGACCUGUGAGGGUUGCUGGAGGUAUCAGAAGUGCGAAUGCUGACAUAAGUAACGAUAAAGCGGGUGAAAAGCCCGCUCGCCGGAAGACCAAGGGUUCCUGUCCAACGUUAAUCGGGGCAGGGUGAGUCGACCCCUAAGGCGAGGCCGAAAGGCGUAGUCGAUGGGAAACAGGUUAAUAUUCCUGUACUUGGUGUUACUGCGAAGGGGGGACGGAGAAGGCUAUGUUAGCCGGGCGACGGUUGUCCCGGUUUAAGCAUGUAGGCUGGUUGUCCAGGCAAAUCCGGAUAAUCAAGGCUGAGGUGUGAUGACGAGGCACUACGGUGCUGAAGUAACAAAUGCCCUGCUUCCAGGAAAAGCCUCUAAGCAUCAGGUAACAUCAAAUCGUACCCCAAACCGACACAGGUGGUCAGGUAGAGAAUACCAAGGCGCUUGAGAGAACUCGGGUGAAGGAACUAGGCAAAAUGGUGCCGUAACUUCGGGAGAAGGCACGCUGGUGUGUAGGUGAAGUCCCUGCGGAUGGAGCUGAGACCAGUCGAAGAUACCAGCUGGCUGCAACUGUUUAUUAAAAACACAGCACUGUGCAAACACGAAAGUGGACGUAUACGGUGUGACGCCUGCCCGGUGCCGGAAGGUUAAUUGAUGGGGUUAUCCGUAAGGAGAAGCUCUUGAUCGAAGCCCCGGUAAACGGCGGCCGUAACUAUAACGGUCCUAAGGUAGCGAAAUUCCUUGUCGGGUAAGUUCCGACCUGCACGAAUGGCGUAAUGAUGGCCAGGCUGUCUCCACCCGAGACUCAGUGAAAUUGAACUCGCUGUGAAGAUGCAGUGUACCCGCGGCAAGACGGAAAGACCCCGUGAACCUUUACUAUAGCUUGACACUGAACAUUGAGCCUUGAUGUGUAGGAUAGGUGGGAGGCUUUGAAGCGUGGACGCCAGUCUGCGUGGAGCCAACCUUGAAAUACCACCCUUUAAUGUUUGAUGUUCUAACGUUGGCCCCUGACCGGGGUUGCGGACAGUGUCUGGUGGGUAGUUUGACUGGGGCGGUCUCCUCCCAAAGCGUAACGGAGGAGCACGAAGGUUAGCUAAUCCUGGUCGGACAUCAGGAGGUUAGUGCAAUGGCAUAAGCUAGCUUGACUGCGAGCGUGACGGCGCGAGCAGGUGCGAAAGCAGGUCAUAGUGAUCCGGUGGUUCUGAAUGGAAGGGCCAUCGCUCAACGGAUAAAAGGUACUCCGGGGAUAACAGGCUGAUACCGCCCAAGAGUUCAUAUCGACGGCGGUGUUUGGCACCUCGAUGUCGGCUCAUCACAUCCUGGGGCUGAAGUAGGUCCCAAGGGUAUGGCUGUUCGCCAUUUAAAGUGGUACGCGAGCUGGGUUUAGAACGUCGUGAGACAGUUCGGUCCCUAUCUGCCGUGGGCGCUGGAGAAUUGAGGGGGGCUGCUCCUAGUACGAGAGGACCGGAGUGGACGCAUCACUGGUGUUCGGGUUGUCAUGCCAAUGGCACUGCCCGGUAGCUAAAUGCGGAAGAGAUAAGUGCUGAAAGCAUCUAAGCACGAAACUUGCCCCGAGAUGAGUUCUCCCUGAGACUUUAAGUCUCCUGAAGGAACGUUGAAGACGACGACGUUGAUAGGCCGGGUGUGUAAGCGCAGCGAUGCGUUGAGCUAACCGGUACUAAUGAACCGUGAGGCUUAACCU
rnacentral:rRNA from 1 species